UACGUAGGGUGCAAGCGUUAAUCGGAAUUACUGGGCGUAAAGCGUGCGCAGGCGGUCGCGUAAGCCAGAUGUGAAAUCCCCGGGCUCAACUUGGGAACUGCAUUUGGUACUGCGUGGCUGGAGUGCGGCAGAGGAAGGUGGAAUUCCUGGUGUAGCAGUGAAAUGCGUAGAGAGCAGGAGGAACUCCGAUGGCGAAGGCAGCCUUCUGGGCCAGCACUGACGCUCAUGCACGAGAGCGUGGGGAGCAAACAGG
rnacentral:rRNA from 1 species